UACGUAGGGUGCAAGCGUUGUCCGGAAUUAUUGGGCGUAAAGAGCUCGUAGGCGGUCUGUCGCGUCGGAUGUGAAAACCCAGGGCUCAACCCUGGGCCUGCAUUCGAUACGGGCAGACUAGAGUUCGGUAGGGGAGACUGGAAUUCCUGGUGUAGCGGUGAAAUGCGCAGAUAUCAGGGGGAACACCGGUGGCGAAGGCGGGUCUCUGGGCAAUAACUGACGCUGAGGAGCGAAAGCGUGGGGAGCGAACAGG
rnacentral:rRNA from 1 species